rnacentral:rRNA from 1 species
CUCUCACCCUUUGUGAACAUACCUAUAACUGUUGCUUCGGCGGGCAGGGUCUCCGUGACCCUCCCGGCCUCCCGCCCCCGGGCGGGUCGGCGCCCGCCGGAGGAUAACCAAACUCUGAUUUAACGACGUUUCUUCUGAGUGGUACAAGCAAAUAAUCAAAACUUUUAACAACGGAUCUCUUGGUUCUGGCAUCGAUGAAGAACGCAGCGAAAUGCGAUAAGUAAUGUGAAUUGCAGAAUUCAGUGAAUCAUCGAAUCUUUGAACGCACAUUGCGCCCGCCAGCAUUCUGGCGGGCAUGCCUGUUCGAGCGUCAUUUCAACCCUCAAGCUCUGCUUGGUGUUGGGGCCCUACAGCUGAUGUAGGCCCUCAAAGGUAGUGGCGGACCCUCCCGGAGCCUCCUUUGCGUAGUAACUUUACGUCUCGCACUGGGAUCCGGAGGGACUCUUGCCGUAAAACCCCCAAUUUUCCAAAGGUUGACCUCGGAUCAGGUAGGAAUACCCGCUGAACUUAAGCAUAUCAAUAAGCGGAGGAA